GUAUUAGUAGUUAAACUUCUGAUGUCCUCGUCAAAUAUAUGGUCAAUAUAUUGAAGUUAAAACUUUUAAGGUCCUACUAGUUAAAGUGGGUUUGGUAAAGUGGAAUAUAGGGAGGAAGCACAUAAUCUUCUUUUUGAUUGGUGUAAACACAUUAUUUUCUUGUUAAAAGGAAACACAGUUUCUCUGUAGUACUUCCCAAUUUCACCUUCCUCUAAAUUAAAGUCUAGAUAUUUAUCCUGUGCAACAGUUCAGUAGUGAUAAACCUUCUUGUUUGUGUUUUUAGCUGAGCGGGAGGCCGUCAAUGCAGCUGAAAGGGCGGAGAGGAAGCAGCAGCUUAGAGAGAAGAAACGACGAGAGGAUAUGGAUAGGCUUGAAAAGGAAAGACAGGCUGAAAUGAGGAGCUACAAAAAUUUGAUGGUUGCUGAUAAGAUGACAUCUAACAAAGACGUUGCGUCAGCGAACAAGUCCCUGCAAGAGAUGGAGGAAGACUUCAUGUGAAUGCAAAAUCAAAUGGAUUUAAUUGUUUCAAUCACUGCCUUGUCAAAAUACUAAAUGAGAAGCUGCUUAAGAAGAAUGCAGAGAAGAAAAAGGAAGAAUAGGGGGCUGGGGCAUGGGGGGGUGAGGUGAUCUUUUGAAGUGUUGUGUGUUCUUUUGAAACAAUUAUGGUCCUUAUUCAAACAUGAUCAAAUUGAUCUUUGUAGGGGGGAACCUGUUUGUUAAUAAGGGGUAUAUGAGCAUAUGGGUUGGAGUUCAAGCAGAAGCUUACUUGUAAAACCAGUGUUUUGAUUUUAAUGGUGAAGAUGACUUGUUAUGAUUAGGAGGAGCACUUGAUUGUUUUUCUUUCUCUCUUUUUGAAUUACAUAUGGAGUGCAGCUUCUUAUUAGUCA